GAUGAAGACACAUUUGAAGAAAAUGGAGACAUGGAUUCGAGAAGUUAUGUAGGAGAAUGGAGGUCAGGGAAGAAAACCCCGCGUGGAGGCAGUCCUGUGUGACUGCGAGGUCCACAAUGUCAGGUAUGUCUUUCAUUAAUGAUACAUUGUGUGAGGUUUUUUUCAAGCUAAUUUAUUACUUGCACUGAAAGAACAUUUGCAGCCGUUUUAUGUUUGUUUUUUUACUUUUGUGUGCGUGUACACCAAAAGAAUCUGACCUGAAAGUAAAUGAGGAGGACCGAACUGAGAACAAAACGCCAGCCUCUAAAGAUUCAUAAUGCGGAAUAAGAUACAUGGAUGAUUUGUCAAGUGACUCCGAACCAAUCCAGCAAAAUAAAGAUAUCUGCUAAGCAAGACAGAUGUGACAACAUUUGGAAAAAGCUGAAGGCAGCACGUCAGGAAGUAGAUGGUGAAGUAGACCAACUUAUGGCCGUGGAAUAGUUGAAAAACUGGAGGAAGAAAACAAUUCACUCAAGCACAAGCAAUACUCCAAAAACUCGAGUGCUUGAACAGAAAUCAUGUGUGCAAAUCUAUUCCUGAUUCUGAUUUAGUCACGUUAUGGAACGCCUAACCGUUCCACUGGGAAUUCAACAGAAGCCUCAGCUGCUUCAAUAUCUGUAUUAUCAGCACCUGUGCUGCCUCCUCCCAUGAAAGCUGCUGGAAAGGUGGAAAUCCAUCCAGGAAGCAAUGUUUUUGUUGAGGAAUUGUCUUGGACUCUAACAAAUAAAGCAACUUCCUGUUCUUCAUUUGUACGCUCUCUAACGCUGGCUGUGUUUGACGUUGAGACGCUUGUCAGAAGCAAUCUUCGUGGAGGCUGUAACAAGCAGCAGCAAGAUGGGGAGAGAAGAUGCGCUUGACUCUACUAAAGAUCAUGCUGUAUACGGACAGUAUUCCUCCCUGCUGUCCAGCGGCACAGAUUUAGACUCUUCCUCAGACUGCGCUGCGAACUAAACCAGGCAACAGAGCCGCGUCCACAGCAGCAGAAGAGUCACCAGCAAUGAGACACGCCAAGGAGUGCGCUGCUCUGUGAGACUCGAGGGGACGCGUUAUCAAAGCGCUUCCUCCAGCCUUUAAUUAACUGCUAUUGAUUUAAAAAAGGACAAAACAUCAU